rnacentral:rRNA from 1 species
AGCGAACGUUAGCGGCGCGCCUAACACAUGCAAGUCGCACGGAGUAGCAAUACUCAGUGGCGCACGGGUGCGUAACACGUAGAUAACCUGCCCUGAAGAGGGGGAUAACGUUCCGAAAGGAGCGCUAAUACCGCAUAACGCCGAGAUGGGCUCGCCUGUUUCGGACAAAGGCUGGGACCGGCAACGGCCAGUCACUUUGGGAGGGGUCUGCGGCCCAUCAGCUAGUUGGUAAGGUAAUGGCUUACCAAGGCAAAGACGGGUAGCUGGUCUGAGAGGAUGAUCAGCCACACUGGUACUGGAACACGGACCAGACUCCUACGGGAGGCAGCAGUGGGGAGUCUUGGUCAAUGGGCGCAAGCCUGAACCAGCGACGCCGCGUGAGUGAUGAAGGCCUUCGGGUUGUAAAGCUCUGUGGGGAGGGACGAAAGACUGAGGUCUAAUAGGCUUCAGGUUGACGGUACCUCCUUAGCAAGCACCGGCUAACUCUGUGCCAGCAGCCGCGGUAA